UUUGCCUUCUUAAUUUGAAAAGCGUUCGAUUUUCUUAAAAUUAAAAGUAGAUUUGAUUCAAGCAAAAGUUAUGUUUUAACUUCGAAAGUGUUUUCAGUUUAUUCAGAGUGUUUUGCCUUUGUCAUUUUUUGCCGCAAUUAUCUGCUGAGUGCUGACGAGCCGGGAAAACAAAAAUCGUGCCAAUCACCUUGUGAUAAAUAAUUAAAAUUAGUUUGUGUCACAAACUCUUCGAAUGGAAUUUACUCGCUGGCGCUUUCAUCGAUUUCUAAUACAGAACCUAUACGAUCCUCCAUCGAUGGAUGCAAAAAAACGCCCCUCCAGGUACGCGUCUCAUGGCGGGAUGGUUCCGCAGGAGAUGAUUUAUUUCCGGGCUGGCACAGUUCCUCGAAAUCGAAAGAUAACCUGGCAUUCCUAAUAACGGCGAAAACAAAUGGCGCGAUAUUUGGAUGGCUGCGAUGCGAAUCCUAAAAAUGAAUGAAACAUGUUCACCCUAUUAAAUCCGGUUUUGGAAGCUCGGAUAAAGCAAUGUUGAAACGACUCCUUGAUGGGAUGUUUUUUCACGUUUGUGUUUGUUGUCCAUAAAUAAUAAAAUUUUGAAAU